CCAAUUACCUUGAGACUGCUGUGUUUGAGAGUCUCUGGCUGACAGUCCUAAUGAGCCUGCUUCCAGCCAUCCCCACCACGGUGCCAGACAUCGUCUCUGCCUUUGCCGUGACAAUGUGCUGGGCUAGGUUGCUAGAGGGUAAGGCACAAGGAGCCUGCCUGAACUGCUCCAGCCGUGCUGGCCAAGUCCUCCUAGAUCAGCUGAGUCUGCAAACUGCCAGGCAUAUGGAGUCCAGUCAAGACCAGACUGUCCAGCCACACCCAGUCUUAAUCGCCAAUCUAGAGUUGUAAGCAAAAUAAAUGCUUAUUUUAAGCCACUGAA